AUCACGGCAUUGCACUUCAGCCUGUGCAAAAAGAGCGAAACUCCAUCUAAAAAAAAAAAAAGAAAGUUCUACAACAGGCAAAACUCAAGAAGGCAAUAGAAAGGAUUUAAACAGUGGUUGCUUCUAGGGGAUGGGAUGAGGAUGGACUGGGCAGGGGCAUGAGAAGACGUAUUGUGGAACAAGAGUUUGGGUUACACGUGCAUGCGUGUGUCAAAACUCAAUGUACUGGUAAAUACUAUGCACGUGCCAAAGAUCGUUAAAUGGCAUUAGGUUGGAGCAAAACUUUUUGUAACACAUUUAAGAUCUGUGCAUUUUAUUUCAUGUAAAUUUUACCAUCAAAAAAACCUGCAAAUAAGUACCGAACUCUAGUUAAUGGCAUGUAUGAUGAAGUGUUUCAGAGUUAAAUGUAAUGUCUACAACUAUUUUGAAACGUACCCCCAAAAUAAAAGGAUUGACAGGUGAAUAAAGGCAUGGAUAAGCUUACAGAUAUAUGAAGAAGUAAGUAAAAUAAAAUGUAAUUGUAGGAUUUAGAUGGUGGGAUAUAGAUAUUUGCUCUACAACCUUUCAACUUACCUGUAUUUGAAAUUUUAUAAUAAAAUAUUGAAACUUAAAGAAUGGGCUUGCUGGUGCUUACCACAGGCUGAAUUCUUACACUGACUAUAUAGAAAAGGAGGUAGAGUAAACCUACCCAAUAUACCCCUCAGCCCAGGCUCUGUGCCUGAUCUAUAUUGUGAAUGUGGGAACAUAGAGUUGAGGGAAAAAAAUUUAAUAAAAUAAAAAAUAAAGAAUGGUUAUCUCUGAGUAGUGAAAUUAUGGGUAAUUUUUUCUUUUGUUAACCUGUCUUUUUAUAUUUUCUAUGAUGACAUGCUUCAUUUUAGGUCAAAGGCUCUUUAGGUUAAGACAUUUCAGUUAUAGUCUUCAAAGGACUAAAACGACAUCAAUCAUCAUAUAUUACCUUAAAGAAAACUAUGGUGAAUUGUCCUCCGUUACUCAGAAGAUCCACAAGAUAGCAUU
rnacentral:lncRNA from 1 species